GGGGUUGAACAUGUUAACCUCAUUGAGGCGUGAAAAUUUAGUGAAAUUGAGGGGAUUUUGUUGCUCAAGUGGUCGUGGAGAGUGCUUUCUCAUUUAUGAAUUUAUUCCAAAUGGAAGUUUGUUGCGAUAUCUUGACGUCAAGGAGGGCGACAUCAAUGUUCUUGAAUGGUCAAUAACUAGAGUUUCUAUUGUGAAGGGCAAUGCCUAAUGGAACCUGAUGCAAUGUAACUUCUUUAAUUAAGGCAUAAAAAAAUUUGGCAGUCAACAUAUAGCAUUGGAGGGCAGUUACAAGGAAGAAUUUGUUCAAGGAAUUUGACAACCAUC